rnacentral:rRNA from 1 species
UACGAAGGGGGCUAGCGUUGUUCGGAUUUACUGGGCGUAAAGCGCGCGUAGGUGGGUUGUUAAGUUGGAUGUGAAAGCCCCGGGCUCAACCUGGGAACUGCAUCCAAAACUGGCAAGCUAGAGUACGGUAGAGGGUGGUGGAAUUUCCUGUGUAGCGGUGAAAUGCGUAGAUAUAGGAAGGAACACCAGUGGCGAAGGCGACCACCUGGACUGAUACUGACACUGAGGUGCGAAAGCGUGGGGAGCAAACAGG